CAGCAAGCAGCUGAAGCAAUGGUGCAGUUGAGUGGAGUCGGAUUCUACACUCAACAGCAACAAGAUGACUCAAUGGAACUGGACCCGAACUAUGAUUUAGGCGAUUUUCUCACAAUGCGCAAUCGUAACAAUAAUAAUUCACAAGAUCAAGAAUUUUUGGCAAUACAAAAUGAUGAAAAUGCCCAAAUGAAUAGCACAACUAGUUCUAACGAAAAUGGAGACAACAGCAUGCAACAACCAAUAAUGCCUUUAUUGUUGCCGGGUAACGAUAACGUUGGCAUUGAUGAGGACUUGGCUAUAUCUGAAAGUGACGAAGAGGAUGAAAAUGGUAGUGGUAUGGCGAUUAAAAGAGAACCCGUUCAUGAAAACGAUAAUAACGCCAAUGAUUCUGCUCAAAACCAGCUACCAACGGAUCGAAAAGAUGAAUUUAAGCACGAGGAUAAUGACGAUGAUGGCUGGUUGCGAUUUUAAACGUACGAAAUAUUUAAUAAUGGAUUGGUACUAAUAAUUGUAGACGUUGAUAUUUUGGUUCAAAUCAAAUGGCAUUUGCGGAAGAUCGUUAAAAAUCAGUAAAACAGGAUUAAAAUGCACGGAACGAUCAGAACCUAUUCCCACUUGAUUUUAACCAAGCGGUAAAUGUUAUUGUACAUGUUAGUUUGUAAGUUUAAAUUUAAGAACAUAAUUAGCAAAGCUUCAAAACAAUGUUAUCUAUCUAUCAUAAUUUACUUAUAAUAAA